GAUGAACGCUAGCGGCAGGCCUAAUACAUGCAAGUCGAACGGGAUCCAGAUCAAAGCUUGCUUUGGUUUGGUGGGAGUGGCGCACGGGUGCGUAACGCGUGAGCAACCUACCCUUGUCAGGGGGAUAGCCCGGCGAAAGUCGGAUUAAUACCGCAUGACAUCAUUGAGAGGCAUCUUUCGAUGAUCAAAGAUUUAUCGGACAAGGAUGGGCUCGCGUGACAUUAGCUAGUUGGUAAGGUAACGGCUUACCAAGGCUACGAUGUCUAGGGGCUCUGAGAGGAGAAUCCCCCGCACUGGUACUGAGACACGGACCAGACUCCUACGGGAGGCAGCAGUAAGGAAUAUUGGUCAAUGGACGGAAGUCUGAACCAGCCAUGCCGCGUGCAGGAAGACGGCCCUAUGGGUUGUAAACUGCUUUUAUACGGGAACAAACGUCGGUACGUGUACCGGUCUGAGUGUACCGUAAGAAUAAGGAUCGGCUAACUCCGUG
rnacentral:rRNA from 1 species